GUGGGGAAUCUUGCGCAAUGGGCGAAAGCCUGACGCAGCCAUGCCGCGUGAAUGAUGAAGGUCUUAGGAUUGUAAAAUCCUUUCACCGGUGAAGAUAAUGACUGUAGCCGGAGAAGAAGCCCCGGCUAACUUCGUGCCAGCAGCCGCGGUAAUACGAAGGGGGCUAGCGUUGCUCGGAUUUACUGGGCGUAAAGGGCGCGUAGGCGGACAGUUUAGUCAGAGGUGAAAGCCCAGGGCUCAACCUUGGAAUUGCCUUUGAUACUGGCUGUCUUGAGUACGGGAGAGGUGAGUGGAACUCCGAGUGUAGAGGUGAAAUUCGUAGAUAUUCGGAAGAACACCAGUGGCGAAGGCGACUCACUGGCCCGUUACUGACGCUGUGGCGCGAAAGCGUGGGGAGCAAACAGGAUUAGAAACCCUUGUAGUCC
rnacentral:rRNA from 1 species